rnacentral:rRNA from 1 species
AACGAACGCUGGCGGCAUGCCUAAUACAUGCAUGUCGAACGAUCACUUCGGUGGUAGUGGCGCACGGGUGCGUAACGCGCGGGAAUCUACCCUUGGGUUCGGAAUAACAGUUAGAAAUGACUGCUAAUACCGGAUGAUGACGAAAGUCCAAAGAUUUAUCGCCCAAGGAUGAGCCCGCGUAGGAUUAGCUAGUUGGUGAGGUAAAAGCUCACCAAGGCGACGAUCCUUAGCUGGUCUGAGAGGAUGAUCAGCCACACUGGGACUGAGACACGGCCCAGACUCCUACGGGAGGCAGCAGUAGGGAAUAUUGGACAAUGGGGGCAACCCUGAUCCAGCAAUGCCGCGUGAGUGAUGAAGGCCUUAGGGUUGUAAAGUACUUUUAUUGGUGACGAUGAUGACGGUAACCAAUGAAUAAGCUCCGGCUAACUUCGUGCCAGCCGCCGCAGUAAUAC